rnacentral:rRNA from 1 species
UUGCGGACAGUGUCUGGUGGGUAGUUUGACUGGGGCGGUCUCCUCCUAAAGAGUAACGGAGGAGCACGAAGGUUAGCUAAUCCUGGUCGGACAUCAGGAGGUUAGUGCAAAGGCAUAAGCUAGCUUGACUGCGAGAGUGACGGCUCGAGCAGGUGCGAAAGCAGGUCUUAGUGAUCCGGUGGUUCUGAAUGGAAGGGCCAUCGCUCAACGGAUAAAAGGUACUCCGGGGAUAACAGGCUGAUACCGCCCAAGAGUUCAUAUCGACGGCGGUGUUUGGCACCUCGAUGUCGGCUCAUCACAUCCUGGGGCUGAAGUAGGUCCCAAGGGUAUGGCUGUUCGCCAUUUAAAGUGGUACGCGAGCUGGGUUUAGAACGUCGUGAGACAGUUCGGUCCCUAUCUGCCGUGGGCGCUGGAGAAUUGAGGGGGGCUGCUCCUAGUACGAGAGGACCGGAGUGGACGCAUCACUGGUGUUCGGGUUGUCAUGCCAAUGGCAUUGCCCGGUAGCUAAAUGCGGAAGAGAUAAGUGCUGAAAGCAUCUAAGCACGAAACUUGCCCCGAGAUGAGUUCUCCCUGAGACU